UAAUUUGAUAAUGAGAAAGUAUGCAGAGAUAUAAUUUUUAGCGGUAAAAAUAUAUAGAAUUUAUCUGAACUAUAGACCAUUUUAAAUUGACUAUUUAAGUUUUUAAAAUUUUGAUUUUAUCAUCAAAUCUUUCAAUUUAUGUGAUUUAAGUCGGUCAACGAUAUUUUGACUUUAAAAUUUAAACUAAUUUUUUAUUUUAAUGAAUAUAUAGUUGUGAGAAUUAUAUGAAAUAUAUUAACUAAACCUGUAAAAAUGAACGGCACAUUCAAAGUUUUAAGUCAAAAUGCUGUUGACUAACUCGAAUUAAAGGAGUUGAAAGACUGAUUAUUAAAUUCAAAAUUUUGAAAGAUUGGAUACUACAUUUAAAAUAGUUCGUAAUUCAAGUAUGUUUCGUACGGUUUUUACCUCUUUUUUAUUUCUUGCGAAAUGUACUAAGCUUUUGCAGAAAUAAACAAAAUAAUAUUAUUCAAUCGAACUUUUCAACUACAUUUUUUGCAUGCUUCUUGUAAUUUCAAAUGAAAUCUUAUUUUGACACUGAUCAUACGGAGUGUUAAAUUUAUAGUUAAACUUAAUAGCAAAAUCAUUUU
rnacentral:lncRNA from 1 species